UGGAUGCUCCUACGGGAGGCAGCAGUGAGGAAUAUUGGACAAUGGAUGGAAAUCUGAUCCAGCCAUGCCGCGUGCAGGAAGACGGCCCUAUGGGUUGUAAACUGCUUUUAUAUGGGAGCAAUAAGGUCUACGCGUAGACCGGUGAGAGUACCAUAUGAAUAAGCAUCGGCUAACUCCGUGCCAGCAGCCGCGGUAAUACGGAGGAUGCGAGCGUUAUCCGGAUUUAUUGGGUUUAAAGGGUGCGUAGGCGGCCUUAUAAGUCAGCGGUGAAAUUUUGCAGCUUAACUGUAACAGUGCCGUUGAUACUGUAGGGCUAGGAUUUGGUUGCUGUGGGUGGAAUGUGUGGUGUAGCGGUGAAAUGCUUAGAUAUCACACAGAAUAUCGAUUGCGAAGGCAGCUCAUAAAGCCAAGAUUGACGCUGAGGCACGAAAGUGUGGGGAUCAAACAGGAUUAGAUACCCUGGUAGUCCACACUGUAAACGAUGAUAACUCGCUGCCGGCGAUACACAGUCGGUGGCCAAGCGAAAGCGAUAAGUUAUCCACCUGGGGAGUACGACCGCAAGGUUGAAACUCAAAUGAAUUGACGG
rnacentral:rRNA from 1 species